UUGCAAACCGCCUGGCGAUAAUUGUUUGUGUUUUCCGCUCUACAGUGAACCAGAAUAAAUUUGUGCAUAUAAUUUCUUUGUACCCCGCACCUCCACCAGAUAUGUUACGUAGGAAGACACCGCCGCAGUUGGCCAAGAGGCAACAGCCCGCGCUAGCUUCCAAUCGUCGUCGUCGUCUUCUUACUGCUCGGCUCUUCGUCAUCGGAAAUACUAUCCCGUAGCAAUAUGCUAAAAAAAUGGGUUUGCGCCACUUGAAAGAGUAUCCAAGAUCUCAACAAGGCCAAAAACGCUCCCCUUUAUUCGCGGCACCUGAGACUGCACAUUGCGCAAAUAUGCGCCGUCGCAAUCUCAGAGGCCAUGCUUCAUUGAUCGGAGUAACCGUUUUUUUCCGACAGAUAGCGCGACGUAUUAAUUUUUGGUGCAGAGCGUUUGCACCAAAAAUGCGGUGCGCAGAGCUUUCGGGAAGUGUGAUGUGAUAAAACGGUAUCAAUAAUGAAUAGACGAGUAAUAACAUGCAGUGGCGCACCAAAGGUCGAGGGUUCCACUCUCACCAAAGGUCGUGAGUUCGACUGUCUUAAUUACCUUCUCCCUAAUUAACACCAAAGGUAGUGUGUUCGACUCCCACCAAAUGUGAGUUCUAGUGUCAUAAUGAACGAUAUCCUAAUUAAUUGUACUUUAAUUAAUUUACCCUAAUGCCAUGGUUUUGCUCCUACCAAUGGUGUGGGUUCGAGUGUCAUAACGAACUCUAGCUUAAGUAAAUGUACCUGCCUUAAUUAAUUUACCCUGCCUUAGCAGACUCUGCCUUAAUUAACAUUGGCUCAAUUAACUUUGAAUUAAUUGACAUCAUCAACUGCCUCGAUUGGCUCACUUGACUUUUUGGACCAUCGGGGUCACACCAACGCCGACAACACUGGAUUUUCAGCCUCGUGAGCCAUAUAAUGUUCCCGCAUCAAUAACCAACAUGAGGUACAAGUGCGCGAUGUGGCAGUAAAGGGUAAAAAUCAAAAUCAAACCCAAGCUCGUUCAAAACCUAUACAAGAAGAAAGCACUUCCAGUUAAGGAAGAUGUUGCAAGCCCACCUGCGCCAACUCGCCGCAGUGCAUGCAGGCCGCCAAGCAAACGACAGCGAAGAGCAUAGCAGCUGGAUGGAUGAAUGGAAGGGCCUCGGGAAGUGUGACUGUGCCCUCAUCGACAUCAGGAUGGAUACCAUCACAUUUUAGUAUAAGUCAAGCCAAGCCAGUCCAAGCGAAGUGCAGCAUUGAAGAAAAACAUGGCAGCGGACAGCGGGUAAGUCCCUUUCAUAUUUUUCAGGGUGGCAGAAAGUGAAUCGUAGAUUUGUAUGGGGAAGAAAUAGACUCAUAAGCGCAUGUUUUUAAUUAGCUAACACCGCAGACAGUGCCUUCAUCGAUUACAAAGUGAAUCGGACAGCUUCGCACGACUUUGCCAUGGAGCUCUUUAUGUCGGAUGGAACGGGUGCUGGAACUCACGGUGUCGCGUCGCUAAAGUGGACAGUUUCAAUGUGAUGAUUUCAGCAUUUCUGACUAUCGCUUAUUCAUGGUUCAAUGCUGCUGUAACGUCACUCUCAACCUCUCCACGCUGUUUUUACGAACAAGAACAUUGUUGCGGACAUCCAAGCAAUCCGACGUUUUAGCACUGGCCGGCGGCAAAUAUCGUGCUGUGUCGGCCUCUAAGCUAGAUGCAGUUAUACUUAAUGUUUUUCUAAAUCAUGUCACGGCUAAGAUGGUGAAAAGUAUUCGUUAUGCAAAAAAAAAAAAAACUGGAUUGAUUUUGCCAUAAAGAGCAACAUUCAGUAACCAGUAGUCAAUUGCUUUGGUGCUUCAGUGCUUCUAUGUAUGUGGCAUAAACUCUUUCAUUUGUCAUUUCUCUGUAUUUGGAUCUAAGUUGUUUUUGACAGUGUGCUGUUUAUUAUUUCUACCAGUGACUCCUGUGGGCUCUCAUGCUUCAGUGUUUUUGGAUAAAGACAUUUCAAGCGGAGAAUUCCCCUGGCUUUGUCACUGUUCUUUCAACCUUUUCUGUCAGUGUGACAUGCGCCGUUAUUAAGUAAAAUUAACAAAGUGGUUUUGUGUGCGUCA